AUGCAGCACGCCGCGUGAGGGAUGACGGCCUUCGGGUUGUAAACCUCUUUUAGCAGGGAAGAAGCGAAAGUGACGGUACCUGCAGAAAAAGCGCCGGCUAACUACGUGCCAGCAGCCGCGGUAAUACGUAGGGCGCAAGCGUUAUCCGGAAUUAUUGGGCGUAAAGAGCUCGUAGGCGGUUUGUCGCGUCUGCUGUGAAAACCCGAGGCUCAACCUCGGGCCUGCAGUGGGUACGGGCAGACUAGAGUGCGGUAGGGGAGAUUGGAAUUCCUGGUGUAGCGGUGGAAUGCGCAGAUAUCAGGAGGAACACCGAUGGCGAAGGCAGAUCUCUGGGCCGUAACUGACGCUGAGGAGCGAAAGGGUGGGGAGCAAACAGGCUUAGAUACCCUGGUAGUCCACCCCGUAAACGUUGGGAACUAGUUGUGGGGUCCAUUCCACGGAUUCCGUGACGCAGCUAACGCAUUAAGUUCCCCGCCUGGGGAGUACGGCCGCAAGGCUAAAACUCAAAGGAAUU
rnacentral:rRNA from 1 species